ensembl:sense_intronic Gm11656 predicted gene 11656
UUUAAUUAUUCAUUUCUAUUUGCUUGAAGAAACAUUCUUACAUGAUACGCAUACGUCCGUGCAUUUCCUUGUUGCAGCAACAUGAAUUAAAUAAGCCGCUUUCACAAGUAGACCAACUCCAAGGGAUUUCUCGCUAACUUGUUUUCUCUAUGCUCUUCGCACUUCCUCCUCUCAGCUGAAGAAAAGGUAGAGCCUGGUAACCCGGAAGAUGUCAGGAACAAGACAGGAGGAUCUUUCCAGUGCUCCUUCAAGUAACUUUACAUUGUAUAUAAAAGUCCCCUUACGAAAGGUGAUGCUGUGUCAUAGUUUCUCAAAGUAACCAGUUUACAUAAUCCAUCGUGGCUUGAAUUCUCUCCAAUACUACUAUAUGGGGUCCACUGUGUCUUGAAUGUCUC